rnacentral:lncRNA from 1 species
CCAUGUUGUAAGAAAGGUUAAGAGGUUGAGCACCUCAUGAACUAUGGGACACUGAGAAAUUCUCCACUUUUUCCCUAAUUGGAUCUUCAUAAUGGAUCUUAAUGAUUAUGUCUAUAACAGUUGGUACAUCAGGAAUACCCCUUGUGCUGUGGUCUUGAUUUAAAGUACAUUACUGAAAAUAGUAAAAUCACCUUUGUGUAACUUAAGUUAUAAGUCCCCCCUACCAAAUGUUUUCAUUAUUUAAAAAGAUCUGUAGGACUUCUGAUGUCUCUGAAGGUUAAGGAAAUUUGAGUUCAAGGUUACUGAGUGCUAUUACCUCUUACCUCUUCUGUGAAAACUCAUCAUACACUUUUUAAUUCACAAGGAAAAGGAAGUCUAGAUUGUUUCUCCAUGGCUCUGUGCUAGAGACACAAAACAAGCAUUUCUAAAAUUAGAGAAAUAAUGCCUGCCUCAUGGAGUGGAAUGUGGACCAAAUGAGAUGGCAUAGUAAGGAGCAUGGCACAGUGCCCACCCCACAGAAGGUACACAAUAAAUGGCAGAUAAAGCUUUCAGUGAAUAAAGCUUUCAGAAGCCACGAAGACAAUACAAAGCCAAUUAUCUCUUAUUGUGAAACUGUAAAGAUGAAAAAGAGAACACAGAAAAUAACUCUAAAGCUCCAAAUUGAAGAAGUGAA